UACAGAGGUCCCAAGCGUUGUUCGGAAUUAUUGGGCGUAAAGGGUGCGUAGGCGGUCUGACAAGUCUGAUGUGAAAUCUAUGGGCUCAACCCAUAGUCUGCAUCGGAAACUGUCGGGCUGGAGUAUGGGAGAGGUGAGUGGAAUUUCCGGUGUAGCGGUGAAAUGCGUAGAUAUCGGAAGGAACACCUGUGGCGAAAGCGGCUCACUGGACCAUUACUGACGCUGAUGCACGAAAGCUAGGGGAGCAAACAGG
rnacentral:rRNA from 1 species